rnacentral:lncRNA from 1 species
UAGGUUCUAUUUUAUCUGGUAGUGAGACAUAUUGUGAUCUCCAUUACCAGUAUCAUUUAAAUUCUUUUCAAUGGAUUGGAACCAUUUCAACUCAAUGAGAAUUGUUGAUCAUCAAAAUAAUUCUCAUGAGUCUCAUAAUCCAUUAGUGAUGUCUAGCAGCAUGUAGUGGCAUUCCAGCAGAAUGGAAUAGAUGAACCUCUAGGUGCAGUUAUCGUGUGAUACAGUCUUAUCGCAAGUCCCGACAAGACGGACGUUAUGAAAUUUUUUUUGUCAAAUCUCAUCGUUUGUCAUAUGUCAAAUUUAUUCGACUAGCCUUUAAGUUUUCACAAAUCCUAAUUCAAUUAGGACUUUUUAAGUCUAAUCUUAAAUCCUUGACCUAUCUCUUUUUGUGUGUAAUCUCAUAGGUUCUAUUCUGUUUGGUAGUGAGGUAUAUUAUGAUCUCCAUCAUCAAUAUCAUUAAAAUUUCUUUCAAUAGAUUGGAACAAUUUCAACUCAAUGAGAAUUAUUGAUCAUCAAAAUAAUUUUCAUGAAUCUCACAAUUCAUUAGUGAUGCCAGCAGCAUGUAGUGGCAUUCCAGCAGAAUUGAAUAGGUGAAUCUUUAGGUGCAGUUACCGUGUGAUACAAUCCUUUUAUCACGAGUCCUGACAAGAUGGAGGUUAUGGAAUUUCUCAUCAAAUUCCAUCAUAUGUCAUAUAUCAAAUUUAUUCGACUCGAGUUUUUGAUAUGAAAAUUAUGAAAAUUCUUUUCAUUAUUCAUACUGUCCUGAUCAAAGUCUUCUGAACUCGAUCUCAUAAAUCACAUAGAACUAUCUUCUUUAUCUACUAAGGUCGAUGGAUUCCAUAUAAGCAUACAUCCUAAUCCUACAAUGAACCUACUGCAGCCAACAUGCACCGCAAGGAUCCAUAUGGUUAGGAGAUCAAGUAUAUAUGCAGUCAAACUACAGCAACUUCAUUGUGAAUAGUCGAGGCACCGUAGAUCAAAAGAUUAGUCACACUACUGCAGCAUUGAGUAAGUCACUGACGAGUGAGUAGACAUCCAAGUGACUUCUUGUAUUGGUCAUAUUCGGUAUCUUUAUUCUCUAACAACCAACUACAUUUUCACUUUAGUAUCUCCAUACUGUAGACUCAAGGCUCAUCUAUCCUAAAAGGGAAGUGAUUUGUACACUAAUCUAUCCGGAUCAAUCACCGUUUUCGUGAUGAUCCAUCGAUUAGAAGUAUUUAGGAAUUAAUCACUAAUGACACAUGUCUCAAAUUCUUAAUUCUUGAGAAUGUGUUAUCAUAUUAUUAAAUCCUUAGAUAAUUCAUGGACACAUAAAUAACAUAAAUAAAAAUAAAUAAUCCAAUAUUAUAGAUAUCAAAUAUAAAAUUAUGUCCUAGCAUAAAUAUAUGUCAGUCUGAUUGGCUUCUUGGAUAUAUAUCUAACAAUCUUCCACUUGUACUAAAGCCAAUCAGUCAUAUACCUGAGCCUUAUCUUUUCAAGAUGUGCUUCAGUCUUCAGCUGGCUAAGUGGUUUAGUCAGUGGGUCUGUUGUGUUAUCUGCGGAGUCUAUUCUUUGUACCUUGAUAUAUUUCUUUUUGAGAUAGUCACGAAUAAUGUGAAAUCGUUAUUCUGUGUGCUUGAAUUUCUAGUGAGAUCUAGGAUCGUUAGCUAGAGCUAUGGCGUCAUUGUUGUCGCAGUACAGUAUCACGACAUCUGAUGAUAUUAUAUCGAGUUUUGCAAUAAACUUCUGGAAUUAAAAGGCUUUUUUUACAGUCUCAGAAGCAGCGAUGUACUCGACUUCUAUAAUGAAAUUUGUAUGAUCGAUUGUUUGGAACUCUUCUAAUUCAUCGAACCUCCAUUGCAUAAUAAAACACAUUCUGAUGUAGACUCUCCAUCAUCAACAUCAGACAAGUCUAAAUCUGUAAAUCCUUAUAUCCUUAACUCUGAUCUUUUAAAGACCAAAAAUAUACCCUAAGUUUUUUCGAGUACUUAAGAAUGUUCUUCACAGCUAUCCAGUGCUCUUCAUCUGAAUUCAACUAAUAUCUGUUCAUGACACUCAUAGCAAAGGCUAUAUCAGAUCAUGUAUAUAGCAUGGUAUACAUGAGGCUCCCUAUAGCUGAAGCAUGAGGGAUCUAGCUCAUGUACUGAAUCUCUUCAGAUGUGUUGGGACAUCUUUUGGAGAGAUGUAUUCCAUGCUAAGGGUAGCAAUCCCCUCUUGGAGUUUUCUAUGUUGAAUUUUUUCAGCACCUCCUCUAUGUACACCUUCUGCGAGAUGGCAAGCAUCCUCUUAGAUUUAUUUCUAUAGAUUUUUAUUCUCAAAAUAUAGGAUGCUUUUUCAAGAUCUUUUAUAGAGAAUUCUUUAGACAACUAUAUCCUAAUCGCAGUUAGCAUGAGAACAUCAUUCCCAAUCAGAAGGAUAUCAUCCAUGUAUAAUACGAGAAAUGUGACAGCAUUCUCAUUAAUCUUAUAAACAUGACUCAUCAUUUUUGAUGAAAUCAAAUAAUUUGAUCACAUUGUUGAAACAAGUAUUCUAACUUCGAGAUACUUGCUUCAGUUCAUAUAUAGACCUUUGCAGCUUGCAUACCUUGUGACUUUGGUCACUGAAAGUGAAAUCCAAAGACUGCUCUAUAUAGAUAUCUUUCUUAAUAUAUUCAUUCAGAAAAGUAGUUUUCACAUCUAUUUAUCAGAUUCAUAAUCAUGAUAUGCCGUAAUAGCAAGCGGUGUCUGGAUGGACUUUAGUAUAGCCAUAGGCGAAAAAAUCUCCUGAUAGUCAAUGCCUUCGCGUUGAUUAUAAUCUUUCGCUACUAGCUUUAUCUUGUAGAUCUCCAUUUUUUCAUCCAAAUCUAUCUUUCUUUUGUACAUCCAUUUGUAUCCAAUAUGUACUAUACCUUCUGGUGGAUCCAUUAAGGUCCAGACUUGAUUGGAAUGCAUCGAGUCAACUUUUGACUUCAUGACUUUCAAUUACUUCUCGAAGUUGAUGUCUGACAUCGUCUGUUAUAGGUUUUGGGAUCAUUUUCAUAUUCUCUAUCUCACAUGAGGAACAUUUUUUCUAUUUUCUUUGUCAGAAUAUCUAAGUAUCUUUUCGAAGGAGGAAAAUCCUAUUCGAUCUAUGAGGUGAAAGAGGAAGUGCAUGUAUUGGCUCAACUUGAAUAGGCUCUGUAGGUUUUAUGACUCGUUGCUCUUCAGAGAUUUUCUCUUCGAGCUCAAUUUUUUUUACUACCUUUAUUUUAGAUAAAUUAUUUUUUCAAGAAGAUAGCAUGUCGGUUCACAACUAUAUUGUGGUCCUCUGAGAAGUAAAAGUAGUAUCCAAUAUACUCUUUAAAAUAUCCAAUGAAACGAGUCCUAUAGGACUUAGCCUCUAACUUGUGCGUCUGUAGUCGCUUGAUAUGGACUGGACAUUCUCAAAUUUGAUAUGAUCAAGACUUGAUUUCUUACCAUACCAUAUCUCAUAUGGUGUAGUAGGAAUUGAUUUAGAGAAAAUUCUGUUCAAUAGGUAAAUAGAAGUUAGCAAAAUAUAUCCCUAAAGGAAGAUUCGUGAAGCUCAUCAUAGAUCGAACCAUAUCUAAUAGGAUUCGAUUCCUCCGCUCCGACAUCUCGUUUCAUUAAGGUGUUCUUGAAAGAGUUCAUAGUGAGAUUAUGCCAUUUAUCUUGAGAUAGUUUAGAAACUCUUAUUAAGAUAUUCACCUUCUCUAUCUGAUCGAAGAAUCUUGAGAGAUUUUUCAGUUGUUUUUUUAUCUCAUAUCUAAACUUUUUAAACUUUUCAAAGGCUUCAGAUUUGUAUCUCACACAUCCGAUACCGUGAAUAAUCAUCAGUAAAAAUAAUGAAAUAAAGAUAACCACUCUUGACCUGCACAUUGAAUGAGCUGUACACAUCAAUGUGCAUUAAGGCAAGUAUCUUAGUGGUCCUCUCCAUUUGUCCUACCAAAGAUUGUUUAGUUAAUUUUUCUUGAAUACAGGAUUCACAAAUUGGAUAGGAUAUUAGCCAAGAAGCCCAUCUUUCUUCGAUCUGUUUAUCCUAUUCUCUUCAAUAUGACUAAUCUUGAGGUGCCAUAUAUAUUUUAGGUUCAUCUUAUUUAUGGAUCUCUUAGAUCCUACGACACUCAUUACUUGCUCAGAAACAUUUACAGAUGCAUCCAUAUGCAAGUGAUAUGUUUCACAUGCAGGUCUGAUGCAUUUUCCAAAGGUGUCCUUCUUCAGGAACUCUAAGUAUAUGGGACAAUUUCUUUUCCAAUGGCCAUCGAUAUUGCAGUGGAAACACUUUUUCUUGCCAGCAAUCUUCUUUUUAGGAACUUUCAUUCUUGGCUUGCUCUUGUUCUUGUGCUUCUUCACGGUCUUCUUCUUCCAAUUAGACUUUCUAUUGGUAGAAGUAGUCUGCUCCACAAUGAGAACCAUAUCCCUUGAACUCUUCAAGGCCCCUUCAAUAGUUACCAACAUGUUUAACAAUUUGGCUAAGAUGUAGUUGAUCUUAUUUAUAUGAUAAUUUACUAUAAACUGUUCAUACGAAUAAGGAAGGGAUUGUAGGAUCAAAUCUAUUUGUAAUUUUUUAUGCAUCUCAUGCUGAACUUCUCAAGCUUCUUUAAGUCCUUGAUCAUUGUCAAAUAAUGAUCAUGGACAGACUACCCUUUGAUCAACCGUCGGAUGGUUUGAUAGUAUGGGGAUAUCUUGGUCGAGAGCUUAGUUUAAUUUCUUGAAACUUAAACUUAUUUUAGGUUCCUGAGCUAGUCUCUAUAAUUAGGUCCGGUUAGACUAUUGGUUUCAAGAAUGUGAGCGAGAGGGUUAGAAGUUGAUUUUUUGUUCUUACAGAGAGUAAAGAUUCUAGUUAGAUUUUUGUGUUUUGAAACAUUUAUUUUAAGAUUAUUUUUAAAAACAAACGUGGCUCCCACUAUUUUUUCGAAUCUCGUACACAUUGGAUAGAGAAAUGGAAGCCCUUCGCAAUUAGGAUUUUCAGUGGAUAUUGCAGUCUCACCAAUUUCGGUACCACCUCACCUAACAAUUAUUGUGAUACACAAAUCAAUGAGUGGACAACUCUUGUCCAAUGCUUCUCCAGCAAGUUGCAGCCAUCUUCAAUCUUUAAGUCAUUAGGUCUCAUCUGACAGUUAUUGAUCUCAUUCCUUAGUUAAGUCAGAUCCACGGUUCAACGUAUGGGCACAGUCGUCAUUGGGUCCCUUAUCUGAUAAUUUUUGGGCCCAACCUCAUUUUUAUCCUACAGCAUCUCAUGCUAAUAGAGUGAUUGCGUCUUUCCGAUGCAACUGAAUCACUGUGAUCAGUCGAGAACAAUUAAUAUCAGUAGGAUGUCCGUACAUCUACAACGGUGGAAGACUACUUGACUUAAUAUAGUUUGAGGAGUUUUAAUUCAAGUCUCAAAUCAUGGUUAUUUACAUUUAAUGCAAAUAAAAGUCCGCAAAACAUAAACAAUAAGAUUGGUGAUGAUCAUGGAUCCAAGGGAUUUGGACUUGAGCCAAAUCGGAGUCUAUGGGUCAAAGGUACAAGCACAUGCACGUCAAUUGAUUUGAUCAUCUUCAAUUUCUUGAAUCGAUUCGAAGCACAUCCUCAAUCUCAUCACGAUCAACACCUUGAUCUAGCCUCAACCAAUUGCUCGACUCGAUCUGUGCUUGUUGUGUGCUUUAGGCUUGCAAUCGAUUAACCAUUGACGUGCAAUUAAUCACAUAAUACAACCCAUAAGAUAUAUACCACAAAAAUUAAUUACAACCCUUGAUCAUAUGAGACUCGCAAGUCUCCAAAUUACAUAGAUAUAUUGAUGCUCGCAGGCACUCAAAAAUAAAAGCCUUUUGCAUGUACACGAGAUCCACAAACAUGAUACAUCAUAGAGAUUAUGAAAGGGUCGCAAUCCUAUGAUCAUCAUCACAUGUAUCUCAUACAUGAAAAAUAGAAAAUUUCAGAUUUGGGUAUUAGGCUGAUCGUUUAACAUGGAUUCGAAUAGAUAUUAUGUGAUCUUAUCAUUACAACUUUCUGAUCUUAUCGACUAUCGAUAUUGGCUUAUCAAAUCAGCCAACAAGAUUAGAUUUCACCUUUUCCAAAUCUCGUUAAAUGAUCCAUAAAUCGUCAUGUUCAUGAUCUUGUCUCCUUGUGAUCAAUCACAAAAAGAUUUCAUGAAAACAGCAAUGAAAUAUGAUCUACAAUACCUAAGUCAGCAAUCUAAUCUUAAAACAUAUGAGGAUGGCUUUGAUAUCACUGUUAAAAAUUAGAGGUUGAUUGAUAUCCACAGUGAAAGGAUAAAAUAAAAUUUUUAAUUAAUCAUGCAGUGAAAAAAUAAAAUUAGUUUCAGAUAAUUAUGAUGUGAGAUCCCAUUUCGAAUCAACCUCGGAUCCAUCAUAGUUAUUAAGAUUAAGAAGAAGAUCAGAUCUUCACCUUUGUGAGGGUUCUUCACCGCAAUUUGAUGAUCGUGGAUGUCUCCAUGAUUUUUUGAAGCCACACAAGCAUUUGACCUCUAUAGGUAUCCAUAUAGGAAAGGUCAAGGAUUCUUUUCAAUUUGUUUUGAUUUUCUUCACAAGGAAAUCAGCACAUAGCCUUCUCUUCGCAGUCUUAGAUCGUGCUCCAACUUUUGGUCGCUAGAUGCCGAAAGGAAGAGAGAAAAAUUUUCCAAGUCACCCAACCUUUGGGCAUCCCACCUAUGGGCAUGAGAGAGAGAGAGAGAGGAAGAGCAUGAGGCAUGGAGAGGGAUCUGGAUUUUGCUUUCUUUCUUACUUCCACAUGCCAUAUGUUGAAGCCCAUAUAAAUAGGUAUGGACUCCAUGCCUUGGAUUCCUACAUGAAAUCUAAGAGGUUUAACCAAUUAAAACUCUGAUUACAUCAGGAGAUGGGGUGCAAGAUGGACUCCCCUUGGGUGUGAACUCCUGCCAAAUGUGGACAAGGGCGUCGUGAAGAUAGAUGGGUGGCAAUAGCUUUGUUACGUGAUGAGUCAAGGGUGCUAAGAGUCCUUCUGUAGAUGGAACUCCUUGGUGCCUCCGCCUUUUCCACGUUAAGCUCUUUUAGGCGUGAUGACAUGGCAUGGAUAGGAGGGUGAUGACUCAUGGUGCAAAAGGAAAACUUUGAUAUGAGAUCCAAUCUCAUACCAAUAAGGAGUCCCAGUUCCACAAGGUUUUGACCAAAUUAAAUCUUUUGAUUUAGUCCAACCCUUUUAAUUUCUCAAAUCUUUAUUUGAGGACUCAAGCUCAUGAUGCCCUUUCUCUCUCUCUUGGCAUAAUUAAUAAUUGGGUGCGUGCUCAAAUCAAGAUCACAAUCAAAAUUCUUAUCGCAUAAGAAUUUCUAAUGGUACGGAGAAUCUAGGGUUUAAUCAUGUGCUAGCAUGAAAAUCCAAAAUCCUUUAGGAUUUCAUAAAUUCUAAUUCAAUUAGGACUUCUCAAGCCAAAUCUUAAAUUCUUGACCUAUUCUCUUUUAUGUGUGAUCUAUAGGUUUUAUUCUAUCUAGUGGUGAGACAUGUUGUGAUCUCCAUCACCAAUAUCAUUGAAAUUUUUUUCAAUGGAUUGGAACAAUUCUAACUCAAUGAGAAUUAUUGAUUAUCGAAAUAAUUCUCAUGAGUCUCACAAUCCACCAGUGACGCUUAGUAGCAUGUAGUAGCAUUCCAGCAAAAUAGAAUAGGUGAAUCUCUAGAUGCAGUUAUCGUGUGAUACAGUUCUAUCGCGAGUCCUGACAAGAUGGAGAUUAUGAAAUUUUUCGUCAAAUCUCAUUGUCUGUUAUUUGUCAAAUUUAUUUGAUUCGAGUUUCUGAUAUGAAAAUUAUGGAAACUCUUUCCACUAUUCACAUUGCCCUGAUCAAGAUUUUCUGAACUCGGUCUUAUAAAUCACAUAGAACUAUCUCUCUUAUCUAUUAAGGCCGAUGGAUUCCAUAUAAGUGUACAUCCUAAUCCUACAAUGAACUUAUUGCAGCCAACAUGCACCGCAAAGAUCCAUAUGGCUAGAAGAUCAAGUAUAUGUGUAGUCAAACUAUAGCAACUUUAUUAUAAAUAGUCGAGGUGCCGUAGGUUAAAGGAUUAGUUACGCUACUGCAGCAUCGAGCAAGUCACUGACGAGUAAAUAGACGUCCAAGUGACUUCUCGUAUUGGUCACGCACGGUAUCAUUGUUCUUUAACAAUCAUCUGUACUCUCGCUCCAGUGUCUCUAUACUGUAAACUCAAGACUCGUCUACUCUAAAAGAAAAAUGAUCCGUGCACCAAUCUAUCCGGAUCAAUCACCGUCCUCGUAAUGAUCCAUCGAUCGGGA